rnacentral:lncRNA from 1 species
AGUCUUGCUGUCCUGUUCACUGAGUUCUCCAACUCAUCCCUGAAACCACGCCUCCUCUCAGCUUCAUGAGAAACUCACAGUACAGAGGCAGAGCACCACAUUCAGCUGAUGGCCUUCCUCAGUCAACCAUAACGAACACAUCCCUCUCAACCUGGCCAAGUGUAGAAAAGGCUUCUUCCAGCAAUUUGUUGGACAAGUGCUGCGGAAGAUGGCAAACUUUAAGGAAUUCAUUAUGGCAAAGGUCAGUGCAGCCGCUUUCUAUGGGAUGUCAGAUUGUCUAGUUAUAAUUUGGUAAGUACCACUAGGGUUCAUAUUUCUAAGAGAAUAAAACCAAACCUUUAUUUUUUUUCA